rnacentral:rRNA from 1 species
AUUGAACGCUGGCGGCAUGCCUUACACAUGCAAGUCGAACGGUAACGCGGGGCAACCUGGCGACGAGUGGCGAACGGGUGAGUAAUGCAUCGGAACGUGCCCAGUAGUGGGGGAUAGCCCGGCGAAAGCCGGAUUAAUACCGCAUACGACCUACGGGUGAAAGGGGGGGAUCGCAAGACCUCUCGCUAUUGGAGCGGCCGAUGUCAGAUUAGGUAGUUGGUGGGGUAAAGGCCUACCAAGCCGACGAUCUGUAGCUGGUCUGAGAGGACGACCAGCCACACUGGGACUGAGACACGGCCCAGACUCCUACGGGAGGCAGCAGUGGGGAAUUUUGGACAAUGGGCGCAAGCCUGAUCCAGCCAUGCCGCGUGCGGGAAGAAGGCCUUCGGGUUGUAAACCGCUUUUGUCAGGGAAGAAAUCUUCUGGGUUAAUACCUCGGGAGGAUGGCGGUACCUGAAGAAUAAGCACCGGCUAACUACGUGCCAGCCGCCGCCGUAAGAC